CACCCCCGAAUUUGUGGGGGUGGGGGCACUAGGCACAAAGCCCUCCUGUGGGAUUUCGGCACUCCUGAACGCCGUCCCUGAUUCGCGCCACUAGAUGCAGAACUUCAAAGGAAACAAUUUGGAUGAAAGGAAUGCACAUAUUUCAAGAAAGAAGGGGGAGUAAAGACUGCUAACAGAAGAGAUCUCUGACAAAACAAGAUAAGAAUAAAACAUGAGAAGAUACGCCAAGACAAGGUACGGCAAAUGACUGAUGGGGGAGGGGGGAAAAAACUCUUCCUUCUUUCCCUAUGUGAUUAAACAAGAAUCCCCUCCCCUUAUGAGUCAGAAAUGUCAUUUUAAGGACUUAAGCUGUGGAUUUAAGGCUGUGUGGAGAUAAACUUUCGAACCAAAGCACGUUUUAAGAAGAGCGUGGAAUGUGUAAGAGCUUGGGAAUAACGCAGUUAAAAAUGCCGUCGCCAUAUUGGGAAGUUCUGUCGGAGGUCUUGAGUCUGGGAGGAGAAAGAGAGAAAUAGAGCUGUUUAUAUAUUGUGGGUUAAACUCCUCAGUGGGACUUAAGAGUGACAGUUUUAUGAGACUAUGAUGGAAAGAGUGGUGUUAUCUAUGAAGGAGACAAUAUAUGGAAACCAUCUCGAUUUGAGGAUUGGAAGAACGGAAAAUUCACACAGGACUAUUAUUACUAUUGGUGUUUAUCGGCUUAAGGAAACUAUCAGAAGAGAUCAUAAAGAAAAAAGAGAAAAUAUAUGAACAAGAUGUGAUGUGGAAACAGCAAGAUAAGAUGGGAUAGAACUAUGAACUUUGUUUGGACUGAUUUGGACUGAUUGGGACAUUAACGCAGCAGCAAGAAGAUGAUCAGAAUCCCCCUUCGGAUCUUGAAAUAUGGGUCCCCCCAACAAAAUUUAAAAUUCGGCUUUGUAAUUCGGAAUUUAUGUGAUAUGAUUUAAUUUGAUGUGAUUGGCCAGUUAAUAAAAAUUAUUUUUUUUAAAAAAGAAA